AGUGUGUGUGUGGUUGGGUGUGUGCGUGCCUGUGUUAACAUGGACAUGAAUAUUCCGGUUAUGAGGAUAAUUAUCCUGUUUUGAUCAUAUUCGGGGUCUGAUGUUUACAUGGCAGAGGAA